GCACUCGCAGGGAGGAUCGUCACCCUACGGAGCUACGGCCGCCGCGGCGCUCCAGCAGACCCUCAGGCGGUUGGCACAGGGAGGGGACCGGCAUGGGGGCCCAGAGUACAACUGGGGGGGUCCCUGGGACCGGCUCCCCCUGCUGUCUCCAGGUCCGGGGCCGUCGGGGCGAUGGCGCAAGAGUCUGCGUUCCCCCCCCCCCACAGCGACAACAGCCACGGUGACAAAAUGGCAGCCCGGCGCCCAGCAGUCGUGCCACAGGCGACCAGGACCCUGGCGGCCGUCCCUGCCCCCCCCCCCAUAACGCCUCGGCGCCCUUCGGGUUCGGCCUCCGGCGGCUUCGGCCGUUAAAAAAACAACAAUAAUAAAUAAAACACCUUGAGCUCAAAACCAGCUCGGAAAGCCAAAAGGCCCGCCCGGGGGCCAGCCCGGCGCGGCCGCGACCCGACCUGCGCGCACAGGGCCAGGCCACCCGGUCGCCUGCCAACCGGCCCGCACCCCGCGCCACAUGGAGCCUGGCGCCCGCAUUCGGAGCCCCGCGCUCGGCGCCGGCCGCGCCAUGGGGGAGGGGCGGGGCGGGCCGCGCGAGACCCGGGAAACAUGGCUGCUCGUCCUAUUUCGGCGUCGCGGCGUGGCCACCGGCCCUCGGAUCAGAGUUGGGAGAGGCUCUGAAGAGGCUCCCGCGCCGGCGGAAUUCAAUCAAUAAACCCCGAACCCACGGCCGCGCGUUUUAGGACUUUGAAGGCUCAACCAGCUCCGCUCGGUUCUCGAGCCCCCAGCACCCGCGGCGCACACUAACCUGAUCACCGUGGAGGCGGGAUCGGCGGCUCCGCGGACGAGUGGCAGCGGCCUUAGCCAAUCGCUGCCGAGGGUCUCCGGGCAACAACGAAUGGUGGCGGAGGCGGGGGGGAAGGGACCAAUGGGCGGGCUGCGCAGCCGGCCAGGGAGGCUCAGCCAUUUGGUUGUGGUACCGGAGACGGACCCCUUUAGAUUUCGGGGCGGCUGAGGAGCGCGGCGGCAGCUCGGUUGCUGAGCUAGGGGGGUGGGCGGAAUGGCGGGGGAAGGGAAGGUGACUGUGCCUGGAGGGCAAAGCCGCCCGGCCUCACCAGCCCCGCAGCCGCCUCAGCGUUUGGCCGGGGGCGGGGCCGCAGGUGCGUUAUAUGAAAGGGAGGGGCGCGGCCGGAGGGGCCGGGGGUUGGGGUUCUCGCCGGACGGAGGGCUUCGCGGGGUCGUCUUGGGCCUACCCUCGCCCCUCCACUGGGUUGUGGAAAGAGGCAGGCAGUGCGAGGCCUGGGGGCAGCGGACUGCCCCGCGGGCGGGCGGAUGAAAGGCCUGGAAAGAGGGGGAGGGGUCAAGGGUGCAGUGGGGGGAGGGGUGGUCUUUUUCUGGGUCCUUUGGGCCGAGCUAGUGGAGGGUGGCUGCUGCCCCCAUCUCCUUUGCGGGUUCCAACCCCUGGGCUGCAGCCCACAGCCCGCGCGCCCCUUCGCCUCCCGCCUCGUCGUAGUCCAGCCAUGGCCAUCGUAGUCCCUCGCAUACUUCAGUAAAUAAAAAGCAAGGUGCGUCCACUUUUGGGUGACUUAACCUCUCGGUCUCGACCCUUUCCAUGGAGGGGCAUUUCAGUUUGCUGUUUUACUAGCUUGGAAGGAAUGAUCACCAAAAGGCACACAGGAUCUUAGUCAAUAAGUGAAUGAAGAGCAGGGACUAAGAAUUGAUACUGAAUAUAUUGAAUAUUUUAAAUAAAUGAAAAGGAAGGUGCUUGUAACUCCUGGUUUUCUGGACCAAAAAUAAUUUAUGGGCUUUAUUGACCUGGUGAAAUAAAACGGCGCACAGUUUAUUUUAAUCGUCCACCUGAGUCAUUUGGUUCAAUUUGGGUUGCCAAAGAAGCUCUGUUUGGAGCACUUUCUCCAAGUUGUACGGUUUGCUUGCUUUGGAUUUUUUUGAAUCACAUUGGUUGUAAGAGACCUUAAAGCCUUAAUUCCCACUUGAUUACCAACUUCCGUGCUAGGGCCUUGUUGUGUACUAAGUUGGCUGCCUGUGUCUGUUAAUAAAUCAUGGGGAUUGUUGUCAACAAGGACAGAUACAUCUCCACACAACUGUUUUUCCAUUCUUUUAUUUCUACACAGCUACGCUCUUCCUCCUCAUACACUCCGAGGUAGUUCUUUUGGAUACAUUGUGUUUAUUUUUCAUGGAUGUAGGUUCAAGUGAGAUACACCAAUAUGUAUGUUGCAAAUUUGAGAUAUUGUUACGUAACACCAAUACAGUUUCAUUCUUGAGCAUAUAAAAUUUAGGAAGAAAUAAAAAGUGGCAGAAUGUAAAUAAAAGUCACAUAUGGAAUGCUUACACUGAGGGAAGAAACAGUGGUAACUAAUAUUGUAACCUGAUGGAUUGCAAAUGUGAGAUCCUGAAGCUAAGCAUUUUACUCAGUAAAUUCUUCUUUCAGAAAAAAUAUUAAGUAGGAUUUGAAAAGUGAUCAUGUUUACUCUUAAGUAGCUGGGAAAUGCAAGAUAAAAAUGGGAAGUCAUUGUUUUAUUUCAUGUGGGUAUGUAUAGUAUAUACUUGACUUAUUGACGUAUCAGUCUUCCUCAGUUUUGUUAAUCUUAUUAAAGUCCAUUUGUGUAGUUGGAAUUUAUUCUUUUUAAAAUUGUAUUGACUUCGUUAUUAAACAUAUUGGGACCCCGAA